GCAGUAUCUUAUAACUUAUUCACUCCUGAUUGUCACAAACAAUUUCCAGAUAUUGAAAUUCAUUAAUUUUUUGGCUACCAACUUUAAUGCAUGUCCGCAAGUUAUUAUUUGCCUAAACUGAGUUCAUGUAGACCAAAAAUAUUUUGGGUCCAGGAAAAAAUUGACAGAAUUAAUUUAAUUCGAAAUUUUGGUUUGAUUUUCUUGGUAAAAGGAUUCAGUUUGGGUUUUAA
rnacentral:misc_RNA from 1 species